rnacentral:lncRNA from 10 species
CAAAAAAAAAAAAAAAAAGAAUAGGUUUAACAGGAAAUCCAAAAUCAAAAUGGCUUGCAUGAGAAAAAGUUUAUUUCUCUCUUAUAUAAAAGAAGUACAGAAGCAGGCAGUCCAGGGUUGGUGUAGUGACUUCACUCAUCAGUAGUCCAGGCCUCUUUCUGUCCUUCAGCUCCACUAUCUGAACACAAGCUUCCAUCUUUAAGUUUCAAUACAUGGCAUCGUCAUGCCUACACUGCAGACAAGAGGAAUGAGAAAGAGACAAAGAACUAAAUGUACCCGUCUCAGAUGAGUUGCUCCCUUUGAACAGCCUUCCUAGAGCCUCACACCACAUUGCACUUACAGUUCACUGGUUAUGUGACCAUAUGACCAUCAGAGGCUGGAAAAGACAAUCUUUCAGCAAGUUUUAUUCCUAGUAAAAAUGAAUUCACUAAGGCUAUAAAGAAACUGAAUUUCAAAGUCUGAAUAUAAAUUCAUUACAAAUGGGAACAGAACAAAGUGAAAAAUGGUGAUAGUGAUAGUUAAAGAACAAGAUCUAAGUAUUUUUCCCAGGAUUAGACAAGAAAUCAAAACAAGAACCAGCUGUCACAACUGGGUCUUUUCUUUGGCCUUAUAAAUUGCUGAAGAGUGUGUUAACAUACACUUCACUCAGAUUCUCUAAAUAUUAACAUUCUACCUAAAUUGCUUUAUAUAUCCAUUUGAGAAUAAAUCACAGACAUAACACUUCUUUACCCCAAAAUAUUUCAGUGUGUGUUUCCUAAAUUCAAAUACAUUUUUAUAUAGCCACACCCUAAUUUUCAAAAUCAGAAACAUAGUAUUAAUAAAAUAUUACUUAUAAUUUACAAACUUGUUUAGAUUUCUCCAAAUAUACCAAUAAUAUAUUUUACAGCAAAAGAAAAUAUCAGAUUAUAUCUUGCAUUCAGUUGUCAUCUUUUUAAUCUCCUUCAAUAUAGAAUAGUUUCUCAGUCCUCCUUUUAUGAUUAUUAACAGGUAUUUUGUAGUGUAUCUCUGAUAUUGUAUUAGUUCUGUGCUUCCUCCCCACAGAGGAAAAAGAAUGACUUUAUAAUGGAGAUACCUAGCAGACACUAUGUUAACGAAGCAAUCAACAUUAAUAGCACCAGCAAUGGCACAGGUUUACAUCAUUUGCCUUUGAUAUGAUGCAGUUGACAACACAUAAUUCCAAGCUAUCCCUACCAAAAAUGCAUAACAGAAUCUAAUUUCAUGUUUAUUUCUUGUAAUAUGCUAAAACUAUUCAAGCAAAAACAUUUUUUCCUUACACUAUUAUUGUAAUUGAGUGAUGAACCAUGUGUGUUUCUAUUUCAGGCACUAAAUUAAACCAUCUUAUUUACUUCAAGAUCUAGAUUGUUUGCAAGAAAAAGCUGAAGAGACAGACUACUACAUGCCUUUUGGAAGUGUGAGCUAACUCCUUAGAAGCAGCCUGGAGGGAAAAAUAACAUUCAUUUUCACACUCAGGAAGAACCCCGGAUCCUCUGCUUGGAUCCCCUCCCAGUUCUGGGAAGCUUCCCUUCUGGCUUGCAGAUAAAGGCUUCAGGUAUCAUGUUAAGGUAGGUCAAGUUGAAUUCAAUUCACCUUGAGUCAUUUAAUUAGUUUUAGAACUUUGCCUUAGAAUAUAACUAUGAAAAAAUAGCAGUUAAACAAACACAUAUUACAAUAUCAUUAAUAUGGUUUCUCAGUUGCAGUUAGAAAAGGGUUCUUUAUACUUUCACAAUUCCUGACACCCAAUCCUCCUGUGCCUCUCUGUUUUCCCUCUCUUCUGCUUCCUUUCAGUUUUAGUUGUACAUCUACCUUCUCCCAGAAACCCUCUCUGAUUAAAAUCAUGCUCUUACUAAUAGUAGCUUUAUCUCCUAUUGGUUUUCCUUUUAGGCUUCAUCAGACAUUUCUAUGUACAAGUAGGCAUCAGCCUCACAUGCAUUGCUUCUCUAAUUAAAUACAUAUUCUCAAAAGAUAGAGGAUUUGGCCUUUAGUUUCUUGUCAUCUCCAGAUCCUACCAUGGUUAGUACAGUACAUGAGUUAAUACACAUAACACAUACACUUACACCAUUGCUUGGCACAGAGAAUCACUUAAGUGUUAGCUGUCACUGCCACAAUCUGAGGUGCUCAACACAAGCAGUUGGCAUCUAAUAAAUAUUUGUAUAUUAAUGCAUAGUUCAUUCAUGUAUCUGAUUUUAAUUUUUGUGCUUUAUUUUCCCAUGCUUAAGUUACACUGAUGAGAAAGACAUAUUUGAAAACUGCAUUAAAUUAAGAGAAAUGGUGAAUUCAAAGUGUUACUACUACUGUGAGUUACAAAGGCUUGGCA